CCAGCUAAGCACUCACUCCUGGGCUCUCUGCUCCUGAGCCUCGGCUGGUGGGAGGGGCCCUGGUGACCCUGUGCCCAGGCCAGGCCCCACCCGGCUCUCACUAAGGGCCUCCCACACGCCCAUAUAUGGACGCGAUCAGGACAGCUCUGGCAGGGUCUGUGAGGUCAGGGCCUCUGUGACCUCACAGUGCCCAGGGGGCCCCCCUGUGUCUAUAAGAGGCCCUCGCACGGCCCCUCCAGCUCACAGCCCACCAAGUUCCACCUGCUCACAGGUUGGCUGGCUCAAUCAAGGUAGACCUCCUGCUCUGAGCAUCCGGGCCCGAUCCACCCAGCACCAUGGCCAGAUACAGAUGCUGCCGCAGUCCGAGCAGGAGCAGGUGCCGCCGCCGCAGACGCCGGUGCCGCAGCCGAAGGAGGCGGUGCUGCAGGAGGAGGAGGAGGAGAGUGUGCUGCCGCCGCUACAGGUCAAGGUGUAGGAGAAGAUGAACAACACGGCCACACCCAAGUCCACUGCACUCCGGCCUGGACUCCUCCCAGCUAGUCAAGCCCGACCUGCCGCCUCAGUGAACACGCACCCGGCAUCAUGACCCAAACAGGAGCCUGCUAACAAACAAUGCCGCCUGUCAAUAAAUGAUGAAAAAAGAGCU